rnacentral:tRNA from 1 species
GGGGAUAUGGCGAAAUUGGUAGACGCUACGGACUAAAAUCCGUCGAUUUUAGAAAUCGUGAGGGUUCAAGUCCCUCUAUCCCCA